GAUGAACGCUGGCGGCGUGCCUAAUACAUGCAAGUCGAGCGAACGGACGAGAAGCUUGCUUCUCUGAUGUUAGCGGCGGACGGGUGAGUAACACGUGGAUAACCUACCUAUAAGACUGGGAUAACUUCGGGAAACCGGAGCUAAUACCGUAUAAUAUUUUGCACCGCAUGGUUCAAUAGUGAAAGACGGUCUUGCUGUCACUUCUAGAUGGAUCCGCGCUGCAUUAGCUAGUUGGUAAGGUAACGGCUUACCAAGGCAACGAUGCAUAGCCGACCUGAGAGGGGGAUCGGCCACACUGGAACUGAGACACGGUCCAGACUCCUACGGGAGGCAGCAGUAGGGAAUCUUCCGCAAUGGGCGAAAGCCUGACGGAGCAACGCCGCGUGAGUGAUGAAGGUCUUCGGAUCGUAAAACUCUGUUAUUAGGGAAGAACAUAUGUGUAAGUAACUGUGCACAUCUUGACGGUACCUAAUCAGAAAGCCACGGCUAACUACGUG
rnacentral:rRNA from 1 species